CCAGACUCCUACGGGAGGCAGCAGUGAGGAAUAUUGGUCAAUGGGCGGGAGCCUGAACCAGCCAAGUCGCGUGAGGGAAGACGGUCCUAUGGAUUGUAAACCUCUUUAGGCGGGGAGCAAUGCCGGGCACGCGUGCCCGGAGGGAGAGUACCCGCAGAAUAAGCAUCGGCUAACUCCGUGCCAGCAGCCGCGGUAAUACGGAGGAUGCGAGCGUUAUCCGGAUUUAUUGGGUUUAAAGGGUGCGUAGGCGGAGUGUCAAGUCAGCGGUAAAAUUUCGGGGCUCAACCCCGUCGUGCCGUUGAAACUGACGCCCUUGAGUGAGUGAGAAGUAAGCGGAAUGCGUGGUGUAGCGGUGAAAUGCAUAGAUAUCACGCAGAACGCCGAUUGCGAAGGCAGCUUACCGGCGCUCAACUGACGCUGAGGCACGAAAGUGCGGGUAUCGAACAGGAUUAGAUACCCUAGUA
rnacentral:rRNA from 1 species